rnacentral:rRNA from 1 species
GAUGAACGCUGGCGGCGUGCCUAAUACAUGCAAGUCGAGCGAACGGACGAGAAGCUUGCUUCUCUGAUGUUAGCGGCGGACGGGUGAGUAACACGUGGAUAACCUACCUAUAAGACUGGGAUAACUUCGGGAAACCGGGGCUGAUACCGGAUGAUAUUUUGAACCGCAUGGUUCAAAAGUGAAAGACGGUCUUGCUGUCACUUAUAGAUGGAUCCGCGCUGCAUUAGCUAGUUGGUAAGGUAACGGCUUACCAAGGCAACGAUGCAUAGCCGACCUGAGAGGGUGAUCGGCCACACUGGAACUGAGACACGGUCCAGACUCCUACGGGAGGCAGCAGUAGGGAAUCUUCCGCAAUGGGCGAAAGCCUGACGGAGCAACGCCGCGUGAGUGAUGAAGGUCUUCGGAUCGUAAAACUCUGUUAUUAGGGAAGAACAUAUGUGUAAGUAACUGUGCACAUCUUGACGGUACCUAAUCAGAAAGCCACGGCUAACUACGUG